CAGCCGCCACGGUAAAACCAGCACCUCAAGUGGUCAGGAUGAUUAUUGGGCCUAAAGCAUCCGUAGCCGGCUCUGUAAGUUUUCGGUUAAAUCUGUGCGCUCAACGUACAGGCUGCCGGGAAUACUGCAGAGCUAGGGAGUGGGAGAGGUAGACGGUACUCGGUAGGAAGGGGUAAAAUCCUUUGAUCUAUUGAUGACCACCUGUGGCGAAGGCGGUCUACCAGAACACGUCCGACAGUGAGGGAUGAAAGCUGGGGGAGCAAACCGGAUUAGAUACCCGGGUAGUCCCAGCUGUAAACUAUGCAAACUCAGUGAUGCAUUGGCUUGUGGCCAAUGCAGUGCUGCAGGGAAGCCGUUAAGUUUGCCGCCUGGGAAGUACGUACGCAAGUAUGAAACUUAAAGGAAUUGGCGGGGGAGCAC
rnacentral:rRNA from 2 species